GGGCUGGUAGCUUAUAAGGUAAAGCAUGUAGCUCAUAACUAUGGGGAGGUCGGUUCGGACCCGGCCCGGCCCA